GUAGGGUGCGAGUGGUAAUCGGAAUUACUGGGUGUAAAGCGUGUGCAGGCCCUUUGUUGUGUCGGCGGUGAAAUCCCCGGUCUCCACCUGGGAAUGGCCGUUAACACUGGGGAAAGGAUCUGUAGCAGGGGGGGGGAGAAUUCCGCGUGUAGCAGUAAAAUGCGUAGAUAUGGGGAGGCACACCGAUGGAGAAGGCAGCCCCCUGGGCUGACACUGACGGUCAGGCAAGAAAGCGUGGGGAGCAAACAGGAUUAGAUACCCUGGUUGUCCACGCCCUAAAAGAUGUGGACUGGGUGUGGGGGAUGCGAUUUCCCAGUACCGUAGCUAACGCGUGAAGUACCCCGCCUGGGGAGUACGGCCGCAAGGCUA
rnacentral:rRNA from 1 species